GGAGAGAUGGCAGAGUGGUCGAAUGCACUGGUCUUGAAAACCAGCGUACCGAGAGGUACCGGGGGUUCGAAUCCCUCUCUCUCCG
rnacentral:tRNA from 1 species